rnacentral:rRNA from 1 species
UACGAAGGGAGCUAGCGUUGUUCGGAAUCACUGGGCAUAAAGGGCGCGUAGGCGGGUCACCAAGUCCGUGGUGAAAGCCCCCGGCUCAACCGGGGAAGUGCUUCGGAUACUGGUGGUCUGGAGUGGGGUAGGGGCAUGCGGAACUUCCGGUGGAGCGGUGAAAUGCGUAGAUAUCGGAAGGAACGCCGGUGGCGAAAGCGGCGUGCUGGACCCCAACUGACGCUGAGGCGCGAAAGCCAGGGGAGCAAACGGG